rnacentral:rRNA from 1 species
AUGGAGUUCUUGAUGCAGCCCGUAAAUAGGCAGCAGGACUCUAAUAGAAGAGGUCAACGAGAACAAGAUGAACAUGGAGCCUCUUCAUUACCCUGUGAGUCUAUGACGACGCGGCCGGUGGUGGAGUUGCCGGCCAACACGGAAUCAAGCGCCAACGACCAGAUUUGCACUGAGGGCGCUGUUCCAAGGGCAGGCAGUGCAGACAACCUCAAGCUUCAGAGCACUCCAUCGAGCAGGGUCCGGGUUGGGGCAGCUGAGCUAGGCAGAGCCCCAUGUGCUGAUAGGAUAUCAGGGCUGGAGAAAAUUGUUCAAAGAUUCAACCAGAAUGUGCUAUGGUUGUUGCAGGAGACAAAGUGCAUGGUGCCACAGCUAACAAUGAUGACAGUUCAGCUAAUGAGUCAGGGAAUAGCCUAG